rnacentral:rRNA from 1 species
CGAACGGUAGCACAGAGAGCUUGCUCUCGGGUGACGAGUGGCGGACGGGUGAGUAAUGUCUGGGAAACUGCCUGAUGGAGGGGGAUAACUACUGGAAACGGUAGCUAAUACCGCAUAACGUCGCAAGACCAAAGAGGGGGACCUUCGGGCCUCUUGCCAUCAGAUGUGCCCAGAUGGGAUUAGCUAGUAGGUGGGGUAACGGCUCACCUAGGCGACGAUCCCUAGCUGGUCUGAGAGGAUGACCAGCCACACUGGAACUGAGACACGGUCCAGACUCCUACGGGAGGCAGCAGUGGGGAAUAUUGCACAAUGGGCGCAAGCCUGAUGCAGCCAUGCCGCGUGUAUGAAGAAGGCCUUCGGGUUGUAAAGUACUUUCAGCGGGGAGGAAGGUGUUGCGGUUAAUAACCACAGCAAUUGACGUUACCCGCAGAAGAAGCACCGGCUAACUCCGUGCCAGCAGCCGCGGUAAUACGGAGGGUGCAAGCGUUAAUCGGAAUUACUGGGCGUAAAGCGCACGCAGGCGGUCUGUCAAGUCGGAUGUGAAAUCCCCGGGCUCAACCUGGGAACUGCAUUCGAAACUGGCAGGCUAGAGUCUUGUAGAGGGGGGUAGAAUUCCAGGUGUAGCGGUGAAAUGCGUAGAGAUCUGGAGGAAUACCGGUGGCGAAGGCGGCCCCCUGGACAAAGACUGACGCUCAGGUGCGAAAGCGUGGGGAGCAAAC